rnacentral:rRNA from 1 species
CUGCCCUUAGUUGCCAGCAGCACCUACGUGGUGGCUGGGCACUCUAAGGGGACUGCCCUCGAUGAGAGGGAGGAAGGAGGGGAUGACGUCAAGUCCGUGUGGCCCUUAUGCCCAGGGCUACACACGCGCUACAAUGGCGGCUACAAUGGGAUGCAAGCCCGCGAGGGUGAGCAAAUCCCCAAAAGCCGCCUCAGUUCGGAUUGCAGGCUGCAACUCGCCUGCUUGAAGACGGAGUCACUAGUAAUCGCCUAUCAGCUAUGGGGCGGUGAAUACGUUCUCGGGCCUU